GGGCGUAGUUUAGUGGUAAAACAACAGCCUUCCAAGCUGUGGUUGCGGGUUCGAUUCCCACCGCCC
rnacentral:tRNA from 1 species